rnacentral:rRNA from 1 species
AAAAGAACUUUGAAGAGAGAGUUCAAUAGUACGUGAAACCGUUCAGGGGUAAACCUGAGAAACCCAAAAGAUCGAAUGGGGAGAUUCAUCGUCAGCUGCUUUGGCUUACGUGCGGUGCGCGAUGAUCGGGGUUUUGGUUUUGUUUCACGCGUCCGCUGCGUUAUGUUCGAGGUGGUCGGCGUGCACUUCUCCCCUAGUAGGACGUCGCGACCCGUUGGGUGCUGGUCUACGGCCCGGUCGCAAGUCUGACGUGUCUCGUUUACGCGCGUUACGCGUCAGACGACUGGUUGCUCGGCCGGCUGCUCGGCGGUAUUGAACGAU